rnacentral:rRNA from 1 species
AUUGAACGCUGGCGGCAUGCCUUACACAUGCAAGUCGAACGGUAACAGGUCUUCGGAUGCUGACGAGUGGCGAACGGGUGAGUAAUACAUCGGAACGUGCCCGAUCGUGGGGGAUAACGAGGCGAAAGCUUUGCUAAUCCCGCAUACGAUCUCCGGAUGAAAGCGGGGGAGCUUCGGACCUCGCGCGGACGGAGGGGGCGAUGGCAGAUUAGGUAGUUGGUGGGAUAAAAGCUUACCAAGCCGACCAUCUGUAGCUAGACUGAGAGGAUGAUCAGCCACACUAGGACUGAGACACGGCCCAGACUCCUACGGGAGGCAGCAGUGGGGAAUUUUGGACAAUGGGGGAAACCCUGAUCCAGCCAUGCCGCGUGCAGGAUGAAGGCCUUCGGGUUGUAAACUGCUUUUGUACGGAACGAAAAGGUCUCUUCUAAUAAAGGGGGCCCAUGACGGUACCGUAAGAAUAAGCACCGGCUAACUACGUGCCAGCCGCCGCGGUAACAC